CAUUUAGGAUUAUGAUUUUAUUCGAAUGAAAUCUUGAUUCAAAUACAUGACUCGGGGAUCCCGCGGUGCUGGUUUAUUAAACAUCGCCUCUUGCAAAUAAUGAAUAAGAGGUCCCGCCUGCCCUGUGACUAUAUGUUUAACGGCCGCGGUAUUUUGACCGUGCGAAGGUAGCGCAAUCACUUGUCUUUUAAAUGAAGACCUGUAUGAAUGGCAUCACGAGGGCUUAGCUGUCUCCCUCUCCCAGUCAAUGAAAUUGAUUUCCCCGUGCAGAAGCGGGGAUAAAAACAUAAGACGAGAAGACCCUAUGGAGCUUAAGACGCCAGGACAGCUCAUGUUAAACACUCCUGGACAAAGGAAAUAAACUGAGUGAAACCCUGCCCUAGUGUCUUUGGUUGGGGCGACCACGGGGAAAAACUUAACCCCCAUGUGGAAUAGGAACACUAUUUUCCUAGACCUAAGAGCUCCCGCUCUAAUAAACAGAAUUUCUGACCAAAUUAGAUCCGGCAAUGCCGAUCAACGGACCGAGUUACCCUAGGGAUAACAGCGCAAUCCUCUUAAAGAGUCCCUAUCGACAAGAGGGUUUACGACCUCGAUGUUGGAUCAGGACAUCCUAAUGGUGCAGCCGCUAUUAAGGGUUCGUUGUCAACGAUAAGUC
rnacentral:rRNA from 1 species